rnacentral:misc_RNA from 1 species
CCCAAUUACAAUGUCUUGUUGACAAAAAAAUUAAAAAAUAAUAAAAACUUAUACCACAGCCCGUCCAUGAAGCCACAACGUUCUAGACAACUGAAACCAUAUACAAUCUACACCGCACCGGUACUAAACUUUGACGACUCGAGAAUACAACCCCUCAACCUGAGGUGGGAUUCUCAAAUAACUUACAAGCCGCCCAAAAAAAUUGAUGGCCCUAACAAAACGAGCAACUGUCCUCGAGAGAAACUUUCUUGCACAACCAAGACGUCUACAACUGGCCACGACGAACAUGGUCGAGGUGACAGGUUAUCCAAGAUGCUAUCUCACAAGAUUGAAUUUGUCCUACACUUUGGCUAAGGCUGCAAAAACUCUUACCUGCGGCCUGCAAAUCGCAGGAAAUUAACCGUCCACCAAUGCUAUACCGGCAAAAUGGCAAAACAAUCGAAGGGAACCAGAAAUGCUUUAUGACGUCACUGUGCAUUUGCCUUCUCAGAUUUCUCCUUCUCAAUUUCAUUUUUUCUUUGCUCGGCAUGUUGUGCAAUGCCACUAGCAAGCGCUUGAUAAGAAAAAUCCAAUGUAUGCAUAAGGUUCUGGAACCUGGCAGGAUCAGAUGC